CCUACGGGUGACAGCAGUGAGGAAUAUUGGUCAAUGGCCGUAAGGCUGAACCAGCCAAGCCGCGUGAGGGAAGAAGGUACUGUGUUUUGUAAACUUCUUUUAUAGGGGAAUAAAGGUAUGCACGUGUUGAUAGUUGCGUGUACCCUAUGAAUAAGCAUCGGCUAACUCCGUGCCAGCAGCCGCGGUAAUACGGAGGAUGCGAGCGUUAUCCGGAUUUAUUGGGUUUAAAGGGUGCGUAGGCUGUUUUUUAAGUCAGCGGUGAAAGGUUGUGGCUCAACCCUGAAAUUGCCGUUGAAACUGGAAGUCUUGAGUGGGUGUGAGGUAGGCGGAAUUCGUGGUGUAGCGGUGAAAUGCUUAGAUAUCACGAAGAACUCCGAUUGCGAAGGCAGCUUACUAGCCUGCCACUGACAUUGAUGCUCGAAAGUGUGGGUAUCAAACAGGAUUAGAUACCCCUGUAGUC
rnacentral:rRNA from 1 species